rnacentral:rRNA from 1 species
UACAGAGGUCUCAAGCGUUGUUCGGAUUCAUUGGGCGUAAAGGGUGCGUAGGUGGUGCUGUAAGUCAGGUGUGAAAUCUCGGGGCUCAACCCCGAAACUGCACUUGAUACUGCAGUGCUCGAGGACUGGAGAGGAGAUUGGAAUUUACGGUGUAGCGGUGAAAUGCGUAGAUAUCGUGAGGAACACCGGUGGCGAAGGCGGGUCUCUGGGCCGAAAUUGACGCUGAGGAGCGAAAGCGUGGGGAGCAAACAGG